GCCCUGGUGGUCUAGUGGUUAAGAUCCGGCACUCUCACUGCCACGGCCCAGGUUCAUUUCCCGGUCAGGGGA
rfam:Equus caballus chromosome 11, whole genome shotgun sequence.